GCCAGACAUCUCCUCCGCGGCAGACAUGGGCUCCUGGGCGAUCCGCUGUCUCCUGUCGCUGGCCUGCCUGGCCGGCGUCCUGGGCUCCGUAGUCGACAAAGGCCACAGCGGCUGCGGCGAGUGCCGGCCGGAGACGUGCCCGCGGAGCCCGGACAAGUGCCCGGCGGGCGCCGUGCCCGACCCGUGCGGCUGCUGCGCCGCGGGGGUGUGCGGCGCCGCGGAGGGACACAAGUGCCACAACGCCUCGCUGCCGCAGCUGCCGCCCGAGGCGCGCAAGUACCCGCCGUGCGGCGACCACCUCGCCUGCCUGCUGCGCCAGGACCUGCGCCCCUACAUGGACCUGCCCGAGGCGCUGUGCGCGUGCCGGGAGACGGAGGUCGCGUGCGGCUCCGACAACAGGACCUACGACAGCGUCUGCCAGCUGAAGCAGGAGGCGCGCCUGAAGGGGUUCCCCAACGACCUGUUCCUCAAGCACUGGGGGCCCUGCCGCUCAGUGCCGGAGAUAGUGUCCGGGCCGCAGGACUCGUCCAGCGCGCCGGGGGAGGCCCUCGCCCUGGACUGCGAGGUGAAGGGCUACCCCAUCCCCGCCGUCGACUGGGAGUUCCGCUCCGAGGACGGCUCCACCAGGAUGCUGCCCAGUGACGACCAGUACGUGGCGGUGCAGGUCCGCGGCGGGCCCGAGCCCUACAUGGUGACGUCGUGGGUGCAGAUCGCCAGCCUGCGGCACAAGGACUCAGGGGUGUACACGUGCGUGGCCGCCAGCUCGGAGGGCGUCAGCCGCGCCGCCGCCACCGUCGGCGUCAGGGGCUAGCGCUCCCUGGGCGCCCCUGAGACUGCAGUCGAGGUCGGCACACGUGCGCUCUUACAGCGGGUCUCAUCCUCAGUCUGCAGCUCGGAGAUUAGCCGUGGAAGAUUUUGAUUGGUGCCGCUUGAUUAACAACAAACUGCUAAAUAGAGAGUACCUGAACUAAUACGUUUAGUAUAAUAACAAUGUAGAUGAUAAGUUGACUAAAUAUUAAAAAAAGUGUGAAAUGUUUAAACGUGCCAUAUGAUGUAGAAUAUUUUGUUUUUAAUGUGUUGCACUAUCAGAAAAGGAAAUUGAGAAUAUAACGAAUAAGGUAGCUGUUGUUAAUUUUGAUACAGUUGUACACAUGUUUCUAUAUUUUGUUGAGCUGAUGUGGUAACAAAUUUUGUAAACAUUUUAUACAAGUUUUCACUAAAUAUUAAAACAAAAAACUCAAAUUGCAAA